GGAAACACCUGAAACAUGCAGGACAGGGGACUCUGAGGGCCAGGGUUGGGGACCGCUGGUGUAGAGUGGUGAUCACACAGAUGAUGAUCAGAUAAGACAGGCAAGGCAGGAGGGAGAGUUGGUGUGAAGAGUUCAGAGAAGUAGCUGAAAAAGAUGGCUCUGCUCAUCCUUCUCACUCUGGUGAAAAAGUCUCAGCUGCAGUCAAGAUCUGCAGCAGGAUAGUUUCUUUGCCUCCCACUGGGUCAAUUUCUGGCAAGUUUCUUUUGUCAAUUAUGUUGCUAUUUGAGGAGGACCCAAAUGCAGACGGCCAAGGCAGGAGCCUGAUUUGUGUGAGACUAGAGAGUUUCAUUUUGAAAAACAAAACGUAUUCAAAGUUCAGAGCAGAAACACAGUCCACAACAGCAGCAGUGAAGAGGAGAACCAGGAGAACACAGGGUGUCUUCACAACAGCAGCAUUCAAAAAGAAACUGAACCAGGGAGGAAUAUGUGUACAUUGAGGGAGGUACGGUGAUUACUGGGAUGGAACGAGAUUAGACAAAUGUAAGGAUAGAAACACAUAUGGCAAAAACAUUUAAUCAAAAAUGACCCAACUCUAAUUCCAAUUUGAACUAUAAAUUUCUGAAAUAAGAGGUUCACCAAGACAGGCAUUCAAAUUCGUUAAUCCACAAUGUUAAUUCCGGAUAGUGUCGGGGUACGACAUUUUGGACUCUGUGUUGGUUUUGUGUUUGUUUAUUCCUUCAGUUAUUUUGGUGUUAGUUUUGUUCUCUCUCCUGCCUCCUACUGUUUGCAAUUCUCUCUCCCCUCGCUCAUAGUUCCUUUAGUUGUUGUUGGUUUCUUAUUUAUCACUUAGAAUGGUUUUCUCUUUAUUAUGAUUAUUAUUAUAGUUCUCUAGUUUUAGUCUCUAUUCUUCCAGUCCCUCCUGACUGGUUAGUUUUACUUAUUGUUUACCUUUUGGUUUGUAUGUAUUCUAGUCCUCACGUUCUCUGCUUCCUUUCCAAUUAUUUCAGUCAGUGUUGGUUUAGGUUUGUUUACGUUUGUGGUCAGGGUUUCUUUAUGGGUUCUUUUGUUAAUUUUUAGGUUGCCAAUUUCUUAGAUCUUAGGUUGUUGUGUUUCUUCUGUUCCCUCCAGUUUCUCAGUUUCCUUUAGUUCAUGGUUAUUCCUGAUUCUUAUGCUUCAUUUGGUUAUUUAUCUUUGUUUAUAGUUUUGCUUAAGUAUUGUUAAUUUGUCACUUCUCCCAUACUUUAGUCUUUGUAUUAGUUUCACCUGUUCUUUCAGCCUCUCUGCUUCCAUGUCACACCUGUUCCUAGUUCUUUUGAUUAUCUGCCCUUUGAUACCCUCUGUAUAUUAGUUGGUCUAGUUUCAUUGUUCUUCGCUGGUUCCUCCCGUUCACAACCUCAGGUUAAGUUCUGUUUGUGCUACGCUCCUGCUAUGUGAACUCAUGUAAGUUUUCUGGACUCGACUCAUGUAAAGUUCCUGCAGUGAUUUUGGAAAACCUUGGAAUAAAGAUAAAGCCUUCCUUUA